AUUGAACGCUGGCGGCAGGCCUAACACAUGCAAGUCGAGCGGAUGAAGGGAGCUUGCUCCUGGAUUCAGCGGCGGACGGGUGGGUAAUGCCUAGGAAUCUGCCUGGUAGUGGGGGAUAACGUCCGGAAACGGGCGCUAAUACCGCAUACGUCCUGAGGGAGAAAGUGGGGGAUCUUCGGACCUCACGCUAUCAGAUGAGCCUAGGUCGGAUUAGCUAGUUGGUGGGGUAAAGGCCUACCAAGGCGACGAUCCGUAACUGGUCUGAGAGGAUGAUCAGUCACACUGGGACUGAGACACGGUCCAGACUCCUACGGGAGGCAGCAGUGGGGAAUAUUGGAAAAUGGGCGAAAGCCUGAUCCAGCCAUGCCGCGUGUGUGAAGAAGGUCUUCGGAUUGUAAAGCACUUUAAGUUGGGAGGAAGGGCAGUAAGUUAAUACCUUGCUGUUUUGACGUUACCAACAGAAUAAGCACCGGCUAACUUCGUG
rnacentral:rRNA from 1 species